GUAAUCGCGGAUCAGAAUGCCGCGGUGAAUACGUUCCCGGGUCUUGUACACACCGCCCGUCACACCAUGGGAGUCGGAAAUGCCCGAAGUCUGUGACCCAACCUGAGAGGGAGGGAGCAGCCGAAGGCAGGUCUGAUGACUGGGGUGAAGUCGUAACAAGGUAUC
rnacentral:rRNA from 1 species